rnacentral:rRNA from 1 species
UCAUUAACUGAAUCCAUAGGUUAAUGAGGCGAACCGGGGGAACUGAAACAUCUAAGUACCCCGAGGAAAAGAAAUCAACCGAGAUUCCCCCAGUAGCGGCGAGCGAACGGGGAGCAGCCCAGAGCCUGAAUCAGUAUGUGUGUUAGUGGAAGCGUCUGGAAAGGCGCGCGAUACAGGGUGACAGCCCCGUACACAAAAAUGCACAUGCUGUGAGCUCGAUGAGUAGGGCGGGACACGUGGUAUCCUGUCUGAAUAUGGGGGGACCAUCCUCCAAGGCUAAAUACUCCUGACUGACCGAUAGUGAACCAGUACCGUGAGGGAAAGGCGAAAAGAACCCCGGCGAGGGGAGUGAAAAAGAACCUGAAACCGUGUACGUACAAGCAGUGGGAGCACGCUUAGGCGUGUGACUGCGUACCUUUUGUAUAAUGGGUCAGCGACUUAUAUUCUGUAGCAAGGUUAACCGAAUAGGGGAGCCGAAGGGAAACCGAGUCUUAACUGGGCGUUAAGUUGCAGGGUAUAGACCCGAAACCCGGUGAUCUAGCCAUGGGCAGGUUGAAGGUUGGGUAACACUAACUGGAGGACCGAACCGACUAAUGUUGAAAAAUUAGCGGAUGACUUGUGGCUGGGGGUGAAAGGCCAAUCAAACCGGGAGAUAGCUGGUUCUCCCCGAAAGCUAUUUAGGUAGCGCCUCGUGAAUUCAUCUCCGGGGGUAGAGCACUGUUUCGGCAAGGGGGUCAUCCCGACUUACCAACCCGAUGCAAACUGCGAAUACCGGAGAAUGUUAUCACGGGAGACACACGGCGGGUGCUAACGUCCGUCGUGAAGAGGGAAACAACCCAGACCGCCAGCUAAGGUCCCAAAGUCAUGGUUAAGUGGGAAACGAUGUGGGAAGGCCCAGACAGCCAGGAUGUUGGCUUAGAAGCAGCCAUCAUUUAAAGAAAGCGUAAUAGCUCACUGGUCGAGUCGGCCUGCGCGGAAGAUGUAACGGGGCUAAACCAUGCACCGAAGCUGCGGCAGCGACGCUGAUGCGUUGUUGGGUAGGGGAGCGUUCUGUAAGCCUG